rnacentral:tRNA from 1 species
GUCCCGUCGGUGCGGCCUGGUUACGCACGUCCGCUUGCCACGAAAGGUAAUACGGAAGAACAUGGGUUCAAAUCCCAUACGGGGCG